rnacentral:rRNA from 1 species
AUUGAACGCUGGCGGCAGGCUUAACACAUGCAAGUCGAGCGGAGAUGAGGUGCUUGCACCUUAUCUUAGCGGCGGACGGGUGAGUAAUGCUUAGGAAUCUGCCUAUUAGUGGGGGACAACAUUCCGAAAGGAAUGCUAAUACCGCAUACGUCCUACGGGUGAAAGCAGGGGAUUUUCGGCCCUUGCGCUAAUAGAUGACCCUAAGUCGGAUUAGCUAUGUGGUGGGGUAAAGGCCUACCAAGGCGACGAUCUGUAGCGGGUCUGAGAGGAUGAUCCGCCACACUGGGACUGAGACACGGCCCAGACUCCUACGGGAGGCAGCAGUGGGGAAUAUUGGACAAUGGGGGGAACCCUGAUCCAGCCAUGCCGCGUGUGUGAAGAAGGCCUUAUGGUUGUAAAGCACUUUAAGCGAGGAGGAGGCUACUGAGACUAAUACUCUUGGAUAGUGGACGUUACUCGCAGAAUAAGCACCGGCUAACUCUGUGCCAGCAGCCGCAGUAAUAC